CUCCACGCGUGGCCGUUCCUAGUAUGCCCUGUUCCUGCUCCCCACUCUGAGGACCCUGGGAUCAGGGGGCGGGAAGCGACGGCAGACGCAGACUCGAGCCUGGGCUCUGAGAAGUCACUGCGUGAGCUUGCCUGUCACGGGGCUGUGACGUGGCCCAGCUGUGGGUUUGAACCCAGGCGAACUGACCCCAAAGGCUGUGCUCUUGCACAGGGGCCCUGAGGAGCUGGCCUCUGAGCCCAGCCCUGAAGGUGACUCAGACGAGGCAGCGUCGCCCACCUGCUGGCUGUGCGUCCACCUGCUGGCUGUGUGUCCACCUGCUGGCUGUGCCUCCGUUGUGAGGAGCCGGCGGGCGCAGGAGGAGGUGCUGCUGGAGGCGGAGCUGGUGCAGGAGAUUCAGCGGGGACAGCAAGGAUGUGGAACGUCGAGAUCAACAGAAGUCCUGCACCGUGCAGGGCACCCGGGACAGUGACUGCUUCAGAGGCUUCUCAGGACUGGGGCUUCUUGGCCCCUGUGUGCAGAGCGGGGAGCU